CACGGGGGAGCAAGCGUUGUUCGGAAUCGAUCUGGGUACGGUAAAGGGCGUGUGACGGCGGUCAGGUAAGUGGAAAUUGUGAAGGCCCUCGGACCUCACCCGAGGAAUCUGCAUUCCAAACUGCCUGGCUUGAGUAUGGGAGAGGAUGAGGGAAUUCCUGGUGUAGCGGUGAAAAUGCGUAGAUAUCAGGAGGAACACCGGUGGCGAAGGCGCUCAUCUGGCCCAAUACUGACGCUGAGGCGCGAAAGCGUGGGGAGCGAACAGG
rnacentral:rRNA from 1 species